AUUGAACGCUGGCGGCAGGCCUAACACAUGCAAGUCGAACGAGUGGCGGACGGGUGAGUAAUGUCUGGGAAACUGCCCGAUGGAGGGGGAUCACUACUGGAAACGGUAGCUAAUACCGCCUACCAUCGGAUGUGCCCAGAUGGGAUUAGCUAGUAGGUGGGGUAAUGGCUCACCUAGGCGGCGAUCCCUAGCUGGUCUGAGAGGAUGACCAGCCACACUGGAACGGAGACACGGUCCAGACUCCUACGGAAGGAAGAAGGGGGGAAUAUUGCACAAUGGGCGCAAGCCUGAUGCAGCAAGGCCGCGUGUAUGAAGAAGGCCUUCGGGUUGUAAAGUACUUUCAGCGAGGAGGCGUUACUCGCAGAAGAAGCACCGGCUAACUCCGUGCCAGCAGCCGCGGUAAUUC
rnacentral:rRNA from 1 species